rnacentral:rRNA from 1 species
CCUACGGGAGGCAGCAGUGGGGAAUCUUGCGCAAUGGGCGAAAGCCUGACGCAGCAACGCCGCGUGCGGGAAGAAGGCUUUCGGGCUGUAAACCGCUUUCAGCAGGAACGAAAAUGACGGUACCUGCAGAAGAAGGAGCGGCCAACUAUGUGCCAGCAGCCGCGGUGAUACAUAGGCUUCAAGCGUUGUCCGGAUUUAUUGGGCGUAAAGAGUUCGUAGGCGGUCGAGUAAGUCGGGUGUGAAAAUUCUGGGCUCAACCCAGAGACGCCACCCGAUACUGCUUAACUUGAGUUCGAUAGGGGAGUGGGGAAUUCCUAGUGUAGCGGUGAAAUGCGCAGAUAUUAGGAGGAACACCGGUGGCGAAGGCGCCACUCUGGAUCGAUACUGACGCUGAGGAACGAAAGCAUGGGUAGCAAACAGGAUUAGAUACCCUGGUAGUCCAUGCCGUAAACGGUGGGCACUAGGUGUGGGAUUCUAUUAACGAAUUCCGCGCCGUCGCUAACGCAUUAAGUGCCCCGCUGGGGAGUACGGUCGCAAGCUAAACUCAAAGGAAUUGACGGCUUGAGAGUUGCGAGCGACGACGAGGGAGAGG